CUGUGGCCACAGUAGAGUGAUUGAUGAAAAAAAAUUUUCAUAGACAUCACAUCUGAACUUAAGCUAAUCGAAUCUAUCAUAUGACAGAUGUUGAGGUUUGACGAUUUAUCCAUGAUCUGUAAUCUAGUCGGAACUCAUGAUAGAGGGACUGAAUUAUACAUUAACUACACCUAGAGGUUCAUUUUAGUUCUACUGGGUUGUCACUAUAUACUGCUAGGUGUCACUGA
rnacentral:lncRNA from 1 species